rnacentral:rRNA from 1 species
UUUUUCUUUCCUCUCAGGACGAACGCUGGCGGCGUGCUUAACACAUGCAAGUCGAACGAUGAUGCCCAGCUUGCUGGGCGGAUUAGUGGCGAACGGGUGAGUAAUACGUGAGUAACCUGCCCUUGACUCUGGGAUAAGCCUGGGAAACUGGGUCUAAUACUGGAUACUACCUCUUACCGCAUGGUGGGUGGUGGAAAGGGUUUUACUGGUUUUGGAUGGGCUCACGGCCUAUCAGCUUGUUGGUGGGGUAAUGGCUCACCAAGGCGACGACGGGUAGCCGGCCUGAGAGGGUGACCGGCCACACUGGGACUGAGACACGGCCCAGACUCCUACGGGAGGCAGCAGUGGGGAAUAUUGCACAAUGGGCGGAAGCCUGAUGCAGCGACGCCGCGUGAGGGAUGACGGCCUUCGGGUUGUAAACCUCUUUCAGUAGGGAAGAAGCGAGAGUGACGGUACCUGCAGAAGAAGCGCCGGCUAACUACGUGCCAGCAGCCGCGGUAAUACGUAGGGCGCAAGCGUUGUCCGGAAUUAUUGGGCGUAAAGAGCUCGUAGGCGGUUUGUCGCGUCUGCUGUGAAAGCCCGGGGCUCAACCCCGGGUCUGCAGUGGGUACGGGCAGACUAGAGUGCAGUAGGGGAGACUGGAAUUCCUGGUGUAGCGGUGAAAUGCGCAGAUAUCAGGAGGAACACCGAUGGCGAAGGCAGGUCUCUGGGCUGUUACUGACGCUGAGGAGCGAAAGCAUGGGGAGCGAACAGGAUUAGAUACCCUGGUAGUCCAUGCCGUAAACGUUGGGCACUAGGUGUGGGGGACAUUCCACGUUUUCCGCGCCGUAGCUAACGCAUUAAGUGCCCCGCCUGGGGAGUACGGCCGCAAGGCUAAAACUCAAAGGAAUUGACGGGGGCCCGCACAAGCGGCGGAGCAUGCGGAUUAAUUCGAUGCAACGCGAAGAACCUUACCAAGGCUUGACAUUCACCGGACCGCCCCAGAGAUGGGGUUUCCCUUCGGGGCUGGUGGACAGGUGGUGCAUGGUUGUCGUCAGCUCGUGUCGUGAGAUGUUGGGUUAAGUCCCGCAACGAGCGCAACCCUCGUUCUAUGUUGCCAGCACGUGAUGGUGGGGACUCAUAGGAGACUGCCGGGGUCAACUCGGAGGAAGGUGGGGAUGACGUCAAAUCAUCAUGCCCCUUAUGUCUUGGGCUUCACGCAUGCUACAAUGGCCGGUACAAAGGGUUGCGAUACUGUGAGGUGGAGCUAAUCCCAAAAAGCCGGUCUCAGUUCGGAUUGAGGUCUGCAACUCGACCUCAUGAAGUCGGAGUCGCUAGUAAUCGCAGAUCAGCAACGCUGCGGUGAAUACGUUCCCGGGCCUUGUACACACCGCCCGUCAAGUCACGAAAGUUGGUAACACCCGAAGCCGGUGGCCUAACCCCUUGUGGGAGGGAGCCGUCGAAGGUGGGACUGGCGAUUGGGACUAAGUC